CAGGCCUAACACAUGCAAGUCGAACGAGAGUCCCGGCUUCGGCGGGGAUGAGAGUGGCGCACGGGUGAGUAACGCGUGGGGACCUGCCCCCUGGUUCGGAACAACGUCUGGAAACGGGCGCUAAUACCGGAUACACCCGGCCUUGUGUCGGGGAAAGAGCGAUUGCCUGGGGAGGGGCCCGCGUCCGAUUAGCUUGUUGGUGCGGUAACGGCGCACCAAGGCUUCGAUCGGUAGCUGGUCUGAGAGGAUGAUCAGCCGCACUGGGACUGAGACACGGCCCAGACUCCUACGGGAGGCAGCAGUGGGGAAUAUUGGACAAUGGGGGCAACCCUGAUCCAGCAAUGCCGCGUGUGUGACGAAGGCCUUAGGGUUGUAAAGCACUUUCAGUCGUGACGAUGAUGACGGUAGCGACAGAAGAAGCCCCGGCUAACUCCGUGCCAGCAGCCGCGGUAAUACGGAGGGGGCGAGCGUUGUUCGGAAUUACUGGGCGUAAAGGGCGUGUAGGCGGCGCGAUCAGUCAGGCGUGAAAGCCCGGGGCUCAACCCCGGAAUGUCGCUUGAUACUGUUGUGCUCGAGAGCGGGAGAGGGCAGUGGAAUUCCCAGUGUAGAGGUGAAAUUCGUAGAU
rnacentral:rRNA from 1 species